UGGGGAAUUUUGGACAAUGGGCGCAAGCCUGAUCCAGCAAUGCCGCGUGCAGGACGAAGGCCUUCGGGUUGUAAACUGCUUUUGUACGGAACGAAACGGUCUCUUCUAAUACAAGGGGCUAAUGACGGUACCGUAAGAAUAAGCACCGGCUAACUACGUGCCAGCAGCCGCGGUAAUACGUAGGGUGCGAGCGUUAAUCGGAAUUACUGGGCGUAAAGCGUGCGCAGGCGGUUAUAUAAGACAGAUGUGAAAUCCCCGGGCUCAACCUGGGACCUGCAUUUGUGACUGUAUAGCUAGAGUACGGUAGAGGGGGAUGGAAUUCCGCGUGUAGCAGUGAAAUGCGUAGAUAUGCGGAGGAACACCGAUGGCGAAGGCAAUCCCCUGGACCUGUACUGACGCUCAUGCACGAAAGCGUGGGGAGCA
rnacentral:rRNA from 1 species